CCCUCCCAUGGGAGACAGUCCUUGAUGGACCUCUCUGGUCGAACCAUCCGACCACAAGGCGUUCCUGCAUCCAGACCCACAGCAGGAAGCAGAGGAGAGGAGCAGAGCAGUCCACUCCUGCAGUGCUACCAAAGCCAGGCUGAUCCCACAGCAGCUCCCAUAAAGGGCACCUCACAUGCACUCAAAGAUGUAAGAAGGCAGACUCUCCGAGAAUUCCCAGAUGGGGUAUGCACGACGUGUUGCUAUUAUGCUGCUUGAUGGAUUUCAGAAUGGUUCCACUUUGGAAAAGAGGACAAGUGAAGCUGGAGAUGAGCACCUUUGAGAUGCUAGCAAUUUAAAACACCAGCAAAAGAGAAGAGGAUAAAAAGAAGGUUUUGGAAUGCUGAAAAGUUGUAACCUUAUCCAGGUGCAGCACUCCAGCCCAGAGGUACAAGUUUCCAGGAAUAGAAACUAUAAGCAUCUUCCUGACUCACUAGGUCUUUGCAGAAAAUUUGUAUAUGACAUCCAAGAACAGAAUAACUCCAUCUCUUAAAUUUUGAUUUUUCCAAC